rnacentral:rRNA from 1 species
AUGUGGGUUGAAGGUACUGACCCUCAACACACUUUUGAGAGAAGUGUUAUUGUGCAUGGAAAAGGGGACCAUCCUUUGUACAUCAGAGCCUACUAUGGAUGCUAUGAUCCUUUAGCGUACCCAUUAUUUAACCCAGAUGGAGAGAUAGGAUGGAACCGUUGCCUGCCAUAUGAGGGACCAACACCGGCUCAGGCAGGCAAUGACGAUGACAACGACAACCAAGACGAUGAACGAGAAGCAGGUAAUGGUAUCGUAACAAUUGGUGACCCAUCCAUGAAUUCCUCUAAUCUUUAG